UUUUUUUUUCUUCCUUUUAGUGAGAUAAUGGAACGUUUCUGGAUCUCAUCACUUGAAGACUCUCUGCGCAAGGAGUCUGACGCACGUGUGCAGAAAACGAUACAUAUUGUAAAACGAGAUUCAAGAGAGGAUUUUAUGCAAAAUCACUUGACAUGUCUUAAGGAGAAUGGAACUGGCACAUUUGUAGCUAUCAAAAAAAGAGGGGAAAAUCACUUUCAGUGGCAAUGUGAAAGGUCCAAUAAACCAAAAGGCGGUACACAGAUGGAUUGUCCGACGUGAUGGAGGAUGCAGUCAGAAUCUGUCUGCAAAAAAUGAAGUGAUUAGGUCUAUGAUUGCCUUAAAACAAUGCAGUACAGCUGCCGAGUUUGAAAAGAUGUCAAAGGAAGUGAUUGUCAAAACAGACAGAGAAACUGGCAGUUCAGUAAUUUCACAGGACCAUUGGUUUCGAAAUGCAGACAUGUGGGCCAA